GCCGGUGACUCAAGGUGGUUAAGUACGAAGAGCUGGCGAUGUUUUUCGUUUAUUAUUUUAUAGUGCUAGUGCGUUGAGAACUUGCAAUUGCUGGGAUUGGUACGGGACUUCUUCCCCUAGAGAUGUGGAGUGACAUCUGUCAGGUAAAUUUAUGAUCCAUCAGCUGACUUGGACUUCACUUCGUUAUAGGACUAGAAGAUGAAUAUUUAUUAACUGACACUGAUGAAAUGGACUUUAGAUAUUGUACGAGUCCAUACCAUCGUGAAGAAACCUACAGCUGUUCGGAUGCGAUAACAAUUAUAGGAUUUUAUGGGUUAACCACACACAGCUAUGAUAUGAAUGAAGAGCAAAGUUGAAAUCUCAAGAAAUGGAUUUUAUAAGUCAUCCUUGUGGUCCGAUGAAAAAGUUAACGUGAAAGAAAGAGAAAAGGUCACAUUACUACUUUAUUCAGGCCUGUGAAUCACACCAUCAAUUUUGUGAUUAUUAGUGUUGUCCUUUAAAUCAAAACUUGAGUCAUCUGGUCAUUUCUCAGUUAAAAUCUAUCAACGCCCACUAAUGCAACAGUUUGAUUGCUGUCAUGUUAAACCACACUCCAGAGACUAGGUACGAUUAUGAUACACUGCUAGUGGCUACAGACCCUUCCCCCAUUAGAACUUCAAUUUCAUUCUUGUACAAUUGACAUCAGAUAAAAUGGAAAGAAACUGAAUAAAGAUGGCUCGGCCCUCCUGUGCUACGUAUUCAGGCAGUGAAGUCGCCCCACCAGAGGUCUGAGAUCCCAGUGUUCCUGAAGGGAUCACGGAUAGUGAAAGGACAUUGUUUCUGCAAUGCGACAGCUACACUGAUGUACCACAGUCCCCACUGAGUCCCUCAAGAGUCUGGAUGUUUUCUUACGAACCUGGUGUCACUGACAGUCAUUCCAGAAACAACAUCUUCCAUGUCAGUAAGACUUAGUAACCUCACGAAGUCGGCCACUUUCACCCAGCAUCUGUGGAGACCUCAUGGAGUCAUGGUUGCCUCAGGCAAGAGGGUCGACAUUCCUGUAAGUUCAGUGUCGAGUGUCUUGGACGGUUUUUGAACAAUUUAAAGCGACCGUGUAAUCGUCAUCUGUCUUGUAUGAUCUCCAAGCUUAGUUUUCUAUGGAACAAUACGAUAUUUGAAUUCAGUACUUGCCAAACCAUGAAUUUUUCCAGGGAGUUAAUUGUAUAUUCAGGUUAGGUGCUAAAUUUUCAUAAGGGAGUUAACAUAUGUUUCUUUUAAGCCAUGGUUAAAUUUCAGGGACAGAGAAGUCUUGCUAUAUCACCAUUUCCAAAGAAAUUUUUUAGUUUUGGAAGGAAGUUUUUCUUGUAUCAGAUUUUCAAAACAAUGAAUCACUGGUUUUAAGAGCUGGCUGUGUAUAAUGAAAAUCACAAUGCUGAAGAUAUCAAAUUGUUGUUAUUGCUUGAGCAUCUGCCUGUAAAAUUCUGGCGUUUAUGUUCAAUCAUCUGUAAAUUAUAGUAGGUACUCAAAAUUGGGCUUUUUCCAACCAGUGACCUGCUGUUACUAUAUUAAAUAUGCAUUUGAGGUAAAGUAAUCGAGUAACUAAAACCAGUGUUUAGUAAAUAUAUGUUUAUGCAAGAAUACAUUUGAGGUAAAGUAAUAGCAGUUGAAGUAAAGUAAUUGGAAUUUUAGUAAAGUACUUGCAACUGAAGUAAAGUAAUUGCAUUUGAGGUAGAGUAAUUAAAACCAAUGUUUUGUCAAUCCUUUUACGUAAGAAGCCAGCAAUGGAAAUAAAAAAUCAUUUUGGGCAGAGGGAAUCCUAACAGCAUGUUCCGUAGAGAAAUAUCUUGACGAUCGUAAAACCAAUGUUUUGUCAAUCCUUUUACGUAAGAAGCCAGCAAUGGAAAUAAAAAAUCAUUUUGGGCAGAGGGAAUCCUAACAGCAUGUUCCGUAGAGAAAUAUCUUGACGAUCGUAUGAAUUUGGUAACGAUCGUCAACUAUCUAUUGGCUUGUUCAAAAUACUUCGCCCAAGAAACACCAGACUGAACUAGCAAUGAUUAUGUCGACCUUAUUGUCUGGGGUGGUCACGUGACAUCUCUAAAUGCGUUAGGGGUUAAAUUGGUCGACGUAUUGAAGGUUACUGAUAAUUCUUAAUUGGCAUGAAAAGAAAAUGGGUCUGGCCUUAGGUUCUAUAUAGAAAACGUAAAAACUCUUGAGAGAUUUGACAGGGACUAUUGUAUUUUGAAGGCUGUCGCAUUGUAGAGACAAAACUAUCUUUGUAACACUCUCUCUGGGACAUUUUGAGAUCCCAACACAUGGAAGGGGUUAAUUCCUUUAACUGAUUAACUCCAUUAACUGAUUUAUAAUAUGGACCGGAAAAAUAAAUGUUAAGCUUUUUUGCUAAUAAA